CGACUCUCGGCAACGGAUAUCUCGGCUCUCGCAUCGAU
rnacentral:rRNA from 5 species